UACCAGCUCUCCGUGUGGUAGGGAUGAUUAUUGGGCUUAAAGCGUCCGUAGCCGGCUUAGCAAGUUUCCUGUUAAACUCAGCGACCUAAUCGUUGAGCCGCGGGAAAUACUACUAGGCUAGGAGGCGGGAGAGGUCGACGGUACUUCUGGGGUAGGGGUGAAAUCCUAUAAUCCCGGGAGGACCACCAGUGGCGAAGGCUGUCGACUAGAACGCGCUCGACGGUGAGGGACGAAAGCUGGGGGAGCGAACCGGAUUAGAUACCCGGGUAGUCCCAGCUGUAAACGAUGCGGGCUAGGUGUUGGGGUGGCUACGUGCCACUUCAGUGCCGCAGGGAAGCCAUUAAGCCCGCCGCCUGGGGAGUACGGCCGCAAGGCUGAAACUUAAAGGAAUUGGCGGGGGAGCACCACAAGGCGUGAAGCUUGCGGUUC
rnacentral:rRNA from 1 species